UGGUGACUUAUAUACAGGUAUGAUGCAUCAAUGCCAUCAAUUUCAGCACUGACCCCUCUGGACAGCUCCCUGAAUCCCAAUUCUGGUACCUCGGUGAGAGCGAACCCUAGUGGCAGGAACAUAAAUUACAUCUGAGUAAGGACUGUGUUUAGUGAGGAGCUGUGAUAGGUUUAACCAGUCCUCCCCCAGCCCUGGGAAAAGGCAGAGUUUGCAGUAAGAAAUGCCAGUCUGUGUCUGUGGCAUGGUUUGUUCAUUGUGACAUUGUGUCUGUGAAGAAAGGCUCUCCAAGGGUUAAUCAGCAAACCAUCCAACCAGCUGUACGCAUUGCACACUGUAAGUAGAACUUCUGUACUCUGUGCUGUACAAUCUGCAUUCCAUACUGUGUACAAUGACAGCUUUAUUUGUAACUAUUUUAUCUGUUGUUUGAUAUAGUGUCUUUCUGUUAUGUAAUUGUAUGUAGAACAUGUUAAGCAGUGUGUAUGUUAUUAUUAUUGUUAAUAAUGGCAUUGAUCAUAGUGAGAGGGAAUUGUUUAAAAUGUUUAUGUAAUGAAUACUGUUUGAUGAUAAUCUGCUCACAUUUAUUUAACACUGGGAUAACCUGUAUCUCUGUCUGCCAGUGAGUCUGGGCGUUAUACAGGUAAAUAUCCCUUGAAAUGUAACAGGUUUUAUACAGGGUCUGAAUACCUACUGCAAAUGACUUACCUUGCUACCUUGGCUGCUUUCACAAUCAGUCACUUUACAUUCUCCAAACUCAUAUCCAAUAUUCUGUCCAAUCCAGAAAGGUCACUAAAUGAUUUAUUUCAAUCAUUUGCAUGGAAUCAGUGGGGGCGACCUGAGUCUAUUGAUUACCAUAAAUAGAUUGCAUCUUGUUCGAGCAGCCCGCCUGUACAAUACAAGCAUACAAUAUAAUAAUUAUUGUCAAGUGCAUGGACAUGGGUCAGGCUUGCCACCGUUAAUUGGCGAGCAUUACUGAUGAAUAAUAAGAUCUGUCUUGGAUAACAUGAAUGAAUUAGGCAUUUAAGAAGAUGUCCCAGGGAGACGAGAGAUUGUUAUCUGUUAAGUCCCUAAAGUGACAGAUAUUCUGUUCCUCGAAUCCAGGGACAUGAGUUGUGAAACUAUUCCCAUUAUCUUUUCUAGACCUCUGAGGAAAUGUAUCAAGUCCUCCAACAUUUCAC